ensembl:lncRNA
GUAUUUACACUGUUUUUCCUAUUUCCUUUCUCUCUUGGCCUCUGUGGUCAGUGGUAUAAAAUUCCUAGGAACUCCCACCUAAACACGAGCUUCCUGUUUAUGCCCUCAGUGGCUUUAAUGUCUAGCUGUUGAAAGCAGUUGACCAAAGCUCUAUGAAACGACUAGCGGAGGUUUGCAGGUGAACAGAGAGACGAGGAAAAAAAAGAACAAAACCAAAUGGUAAAAAUAAAUGAAUACUUUGACUUGGAAUUCUUGGGCUAAGAGGGCAGAUGGUUCCCCUCCCAUGUCCUCACGCUUCUGCCUGUUCACCUGCGUCCUGGCCGGGCCACUUCCUUGUGGGACAUCCUUCUUCUCCAAGGAAGAGAUGCUUGAAGGAUGACGACACUCAAAGGCUGCCAUCAUCCGAGGGCAUAGCCCCAGGCAGCAGCCCCUCUGAUCACCUCAUCCAGGACUCAGCUGCCUUCACGUGCCCACACUCUUCCUACAGACAUUCUUAAUUUGCUAAUUCUAUUAUUUACAUAUUUUUGUGGGGGAGGAGGUCUUUGUGUUGUGUAGCUUUUGAUCUAGACCAGGGGUCCCCAACUUCUGAGAUCUAAUGCUUGAUGAUCU